GAAUCUCGGAAGAGAAGUCCUAUGCCUGCCUUAGCACUGAGCUGUGCACUUCUGAGAGUGAGAGGAGACACCAUCAAUAAUUGUCUUGGGACAACUGGAAUAAACAGUGACUGCCCAGAGAACUACGAUAUUUGAAAUCUUAUUUCUUGAUGAAUAUUCAUCCUGACUUCUUUCCUGAAAUGCUGUUUGCAAAGAGAGUGACUUAUAUAAGAGAUGCAAUAGGCACUGAGACACUGCCUUUUGGCUGUGCCCUGGUAUCUCUCCCCAGGACUGGACUCUGAGCCCGUCAUUGAAAUGAGAGACCACGAGGACGGGGGCAUCCAGCUGGAGUGCAUAUCUGGAGGGUGGUACCCAAAGCCCCUCACAGUGUGGAGGGACCCCUACGGUGAGGUCGUGCCUGCCCUGAAGGAGGUCUCCACCCCUGACGCAGACAGCCUCUUCAUGGUCACCACAGCUGUGAUCAUCAGAGACAAGUCUGUGAGGAACGUGUCCUGCUCUAUCAAUGACACCCUGCUCGGCCAGAAGAAAGAAAGUGUCAUUUUUAUUCCAGAGCAACUUCUGAAGAAUUGCAUACGUUUA
rnacentral:lncRNA from 1 species